AUAACAGCGUUGAUAGAAAAAAGUAGUUUUUAUGAUCUCUUAAAGCGAGCAAGGGAUGGUGUAAGCCUUGUAAGAGUAGUUUUAAUGAAAAACAUUCUUGAGCUUCUAACCGAAAGAGUGAAAUCUGAAGAUUAAAUUGAAAUUGCAUCUUAAAAGGAAAUACCUUUUCCUUGCGUCAAAGGUGUAAGUUCGAUUUGCCAAAUUAAAAUUUGGAAUCUCACUUAUCUCACUUAAGUAGACUUAGACGGGGUCUGACCGUUAAAAAGGAACAGUCUUGAAUUUGUAUUCAGCACUGAUUGAGAUAGUAUAUUUUUAUACUAAUUUAGGUGGUACCGCGGAAGUAACCUUUCGUCCUAUAU
rnacentral:ncRNA from 1 species